UACGAAGGGGGCUAGCGUUGCUCGGAAUCACUGGGCGUAAAGGGUGCGUAGGCGGGUCUUUAAGUCAGGGGUGAAAUCCUGGAGCUCAACUCCAGAACUGCCUUUGAUACUGAGGAUCUUGAGUUCGGGAGAGGUGAGUGGAACUGCGAGGUGUAGAGGUGAAAUUCGUAGAUAUUCGCAAGAACACCAGUGGCGAAGGCGGCUCACUGGCCC
rnacentral:rRNA from 1 species